rnacentral:rRNA from 1 species
UACGGGGGGGGUAAGCGUUGUUCGGAAUUACUGGGCGUAAAGGGCUCGUAGGCGGCCAACUAAGUCAGACGUGAAAUCCCUCAGCUUAACUGGGGAACUGCGUCUGAUACUGGAUGGCUUGGAUUUGGGAGAGGGAUGCGGAAUUCCAGGUGUAGCGGUGAAAUGCGCAGAUAUCAGGAGGAACACCAGUGGCGAAGGCGGCACUCUGGGCCGGUACUGACGCUGAGGAGCGAAAGCGUGGGGAGCGAACAGG